rnacentral:tRNA from 1 species
UGAGGUGUGGCGGAAUUGGUAUACUCAACCUACGGGAGUACCGAGUUACCGGAUAAAAUAGUAACAAUGCAGGUUCGAAUCCUGCCACCUCAA